rnacentral:rRNA from 1 species
CCCUUAGAUGUUCUGGGCCGCACGCGCGCUACACUGACGAAGUCAGCGAGCAUGUCCUACGCCGACAGGUGCGGGGAAUCUUGUCAAACUUCGUCGUGAUGGGGAUUGAUUAUUGAAAUUCUUGAUCAUCAAUGAGGAAUUCCUAGUAAGCGCAAGUCAGCAGCUUGCGUUGAUUACGUCCCUGCCCUUUGUACACACCGCCCGUCGCUACUACCGAUUGAAUGGUUUAGUGAGAUCUUCGGAUUGGCGCCACUGCGGCUCAGCAAUGGGCUCGGUGGAUGCCGAAAAGUUGAUCAAACUUGAUCAUUUAGAGGAAGUAAAAGUCGUAACA